rnacentral:rRNA from 1 species
UACGUAGGGUCCAAGCGUUAUCCGGAAUCACUGGGCGUAAAGCGUGCGUAGGUGGUCUGUUAAGUGAGAUGUUAAAACGUGUGGCUCAACCAUAUCGUUGUGUCUCAUACUGGCAGACUAGAGGAUGGCAGAGGCAAGUGGAAUUUCUCGUGUAGCAGUGAAAUGCGUAGAUAUGAGAAGGAACACCAAUGGCGAAGGCAGCUGCUGGGCCACCCCUGACACUGAGGUACGAAAGCGUGGGGAGCGAACGG